rnacentral:rRNA from 1 species
UACGUAGGGUGCAAGCGUUAAUCGGAAUUACUGGGCGUAAAGCGUGCGCAGGCGGUUUUGUAAGUUUGGCGUGAAAUCCCCGGGCUCAACCUGGGAAUUGCGAUGAAGACUGCAAGGCUAGAAUCUGGCAGAGGGGGGUAGAAUUCCACGUGUAGCAGUGAAAUGCGUAGAGAUGUGGAGGAACACCGAUGGCGAAGGCAGCCCCCUGGGUCAAGAUUGACGCUCAUGCACGAAAGCGUGGGGAGCAAACAGG